UGAGAGCUGGCUGGGAAAUCAAAGAGGAGGGUCACGAGGUCAAUAAGACAAAAACCCAACUCAGGCUUUCAAAAUAACAGGUUUAUUAAACAGACAACACACUACACA